AGCGAACGCUGGCGGCAUGCUUAACACAUGCAAGUCUCACGGGCAGCAAUGUCAGUGGCGGACGGGUGAGUAACGCGUAGGAAUCUGUCCUUAGGUGGGGGAUAACUGUGGGAAACUACAGCUAAUACCGCAUGAUACCUGUGGGUCAAAGGCGCGAGUCGCCUAAGGAGGAGCCUGCGUACGAUUAGCUAGUUGGUGGGGUAAAGGCUUACCAAGGCGACGAUCGUUAGCUGGUCUGAGAGGAUGAUCAGCCACAUUGGGACUGAGACACGGCCCAAACUCCUACGGGAGGCAGCAGUGGGGAAUAUUGGACAAUGGGCGAAAGCCUGAUCCAGCAAUGCCGCGUGUGUGAAGAAGGUCUUCGGAUUGUAAAGCACUUUCGACGGGGACGAUGAUGACGGUACCCGUAGAAGAAGCCCCGGCUAACUUCGUGCCAGCCGCCGCAGUAAUAC
rnacentral:rRNA from 1 species